ACCCUCUGAAAGUUAUCCAUGGCACUGUCUGUUACUGUGGGUAAGAUUAGUGUGCCUACAUUAAAUGGUACACUAAAGCUUAUUGCCUACUUCUAUAUUGUUUGUGGUCAAUAAAACCCGUGUGCCAAUAAAU